GGCCAGACUCCUACGGGAGGCAGCAGUGGGGGAUAUUGCACAAUGGGGGAAACCCUGAUGCAGCGACGCCGCGUGGGUGAAGAAGUAUUUCGGUAUGUAAAGCCCUAUCAGCAGGGAAGAAAGAAGACGGUACCUGACUAAGAAGCCCCGGCUAACUACGUGCCAGCAGCCGCGGUAAUACGUAGGGGGCGAGCGUUAUCCGGAUUCACUGGGUGUAAAGGGAGCGUAGACGGCCGUGCAAGCCAGGAGUGAAAGCCCGGGGCCCAACCCCGGGACUGCUCUUGGAACUGUGCGGCUGGAGUGCGGGAGGGGCAGGCGGAAUUCCUGGUGUAGCGGUGAAAUGCGUAGAUAUCAGGAGGAACACCGGCGGCGAAGGCGGCCUGCUGGACCGCGACUGACGUUGAGGCUCGAAAGCGUGGGGAGCAAACAGGAUUAGAUACCCGGGUAACA
rnacentral:rRNA from 1 species